rfam:Hordeum vulgare subsp. vulgare, WGS project CAJW01000000 data, contig: morex_contig_1560095
GUCCCUUCGGGAACAUCUGAUAAAGUUGGAAUGAUACAGGGAAGAUUGGCACGAAUCCUUCGCAAGGAUGACACACAAAAUUUAGAAAUUAUCAAAAGAAAA